rnacentral:lncRNA from 1 species
GCUAUUGGAAGUAUAAAGAAUUGAAUGUUUUCUAUUUUUUGACUUUUGGAUCAAGAAUUGUCCGAUUGGAAUGAUUGCGAUCCUCCCUAGGCACUACAAUAAAACCGGUGUAUAGCGACGCUCUUAAAUAUCGGUACAAGUCAAAAAAAAAGUGUAGCUGGCUAGAUUACCGAUACUUUUUAAAAGUGUUGCUAUAUGUGGGAUCGUUAUAUGUAGGGCCGUCUUGAUGUUUGGUGCCCACUCCUCUAGCGAUUUGUGGCAAAAGGAUACGUGGCGAUCAUAGCCCUCUACGGUCUCUACGAGAUUCUCACGGCUGAACUACAGCCGUUGGAAUCCUACCUCGUCGGUUGCGGCGGCGGAGGAGGAGAAUGGGAGAUAGUGAUUAAUUUUUCUUUUUUUUUUCUAUUUGUAAUAGGACUGACUGGCCUAUGUGGAGUUGGUUGAGCAGAGAAACUUUUUGUUUUUAAUUAAAUUGGGCUUUAUAUUUAGCCUUAGUAGAUUUUUUAAAAAAGUUUUGGCAUAAAUGAGAUAUUUAAUUGAAUUGGGCUUUAUAAUUUCUUUGAGGGA